rnacentral:rRNA from 1 species
UACAGAGGGUGCGAGCGUUGUUCGGAAUUAUUGGGCGUAAAGCGCUUGUAGGCGGCACGUCAAGUCGCGUGUGAAAUCCCCAGGCUUAACCUGGGAAGUGCGCGCGAAACUGACGAGCUUGAGUGCCGGAGAGGGUCGCGGAAUUCCCGGUGUAGAGGUGAAAUUCGUAGAUAUUCGGAAGAACACCAGAGGCGAAGGCAGCGAAUUGGCCCUAUAUUGACGCUCAGGCACGAAAGCAUGGGGAUCAAACAGG